UGUCGGCGGCUGCAGUGGGGAAUAUUGGACAAUGGGCGCAAGCCUGAUCCAGCCAUGCCGCGUGAGUGAUGAAGGCCUUAGGGUUGUAAAGCUCUUUCACCGGUGAAGAUAAUGACGGUAACCGGAGAAGAAGCCCCGGCUAACUUCGUGCCAGCAGCCGCGGUAAUACGAAGGGGGCUAGCGUUGUUCGGAAUUACUGGGCGUAAAGCGCACGUAGGCGGAUAUUUAAGUCAGGGGUGAAAUCCCAGAGCUCAACUCUGGAACUGCCUUUGAUACUGGGUAUCUCGAGUAUGGAAGAGGUAAGUGGAAUUCCGAGUGUAGAGGUGAAAUUCGUAGAUAUUCGGAGGAACACCAGUGGCGAAGGCGGCUUACUGGUCCAUUACUGACGCUGAGGUGCGAAAGCGUGGGGAGCAAACAGGAUUAGAUACCCGUGUAGUCCAA
rnacentral:rRNA from 1 species